UAUAUAAUAGAACUUAAAUGGCUCGAGAGUAGUUUAUGAUCAUGACUUUAAAGCAUAUCCUUAUCAACAGGUGGCAGUAAUACGCCUUUCUAUAAAUCUGUAUGCCAAACGCCAAUGUUAAGAAGAAGAUUAACCACUUCCACGAGCUUCACGCCACGGCUUUUUACAGAAUUCUGUUCUGAUGUUGAGCUGUGGUCCCUUCAUCCAGACGCUCUUCGAAAACCAGUCUCUUUCACAGACAUCAGGGUCCAGUGACUACUUUUGGGGGGUCUGCAAACUUCCAAUGAGGACCAUUGACCAAUUGAAAAGGAUUCACUCAAGGAGGGAUUAAAUGCCACCAUCUCACCCCAAUACCUUGGAAAUGAUGGGUCAAUUAUUGGGUGAUGGCUUUUCCACCACCAAAACGCUUGUAAAUAGUUGCCUAAAACACAUGAAUAGUUAAUUGUUUUAGGCUGGAACCGUUUAAUUUCUAAUAAUACAUUUUAAAAUAUAAUUGUAUAAAAUGCCAUGUUGUUUUAUGUAUUGUAAAUAAACAAGUCAUUCAGCACCAUUUCAGUAAGUAACUAAUGUCAAGCAGUUGUGACUGUUGCGCAUAAUUAUUGUGAUGCUGUAUAAAGUAAUAUCAAAGGUGACAACAUACUUGCCACACAAUUUUUAUAUCAAUUGACAUGACAAAAGUGCAGUUGAGGCAUGACAAUGUCAAAGUUGCAUCAACAGCAGCUUGUAAAUGGGAUGAUUUUGAAUAAAAACUUUCUUGAAAUUAUUAUAAUUAUUUUAAUUGGUGUCAAUGAUCCCUUCGAUGCAAAUUCGAGUGACUAUUUACCUCACAAUCGCAUAACAUGUUGUAUUUGGUUAUGACAAAUGGGGAAAGUCAAAAUUUGUCAGCAACUUGUACAAACUGUUCUGCUUGAUUUUGAAUUAUCUGCAGAUUAAUUUGGGCAUGCAUUCAUGGCAGCUUGGUGUAUGUUUCAAUCAUGGCUAUCAGCUUUUACAACAGUACUGCAAAAUAAAUUCUCAACAUCUGAAGUGGAUCUUAAAUGGAAGUUCUUUUCUACUUAACUUCAUUUUAAAAAAAGUGUGUUAAGUCAUGUUUAUCAAUUUGAUUUAUUUAGCACAUCUGUACAUACAAUACAAACACCAAAUACAUCUGUGCACGGUCGUAUAUUAUAUGUGUUCACUGGCCAAUGUUGUGGAUAAUUUUGUAAGACUUUUUUUCUCUCUUGUAAAUAAUAGUAUUUUAUUGUCUAUCACAAUGAUCAUUUAAAAUAAUCUUUUCAUUUGCAACAAUGUAUAAACUGCUAAAGGUUAGUGAAUUUUGUGAGGCAGUAUAAAUUGAAUUUAGUUUGUAUAGUGCAUUUUCUUAAAAGGCUUUUUCCUUUUCAUUAUCAAGGUUUGUUUGUUAAUUAAUUUAGCAAUUGUUGGUUUUGGCUUAUUCACUUGAGGUUUAAUUAUUUUGAGCAAAAUAUGAAAAAGGGUUGUCUGUGUAGUACAUCACUUUUUUAAAUCCAUGGCAUGGGUCAAAUUAUUAAGCUUGUAUAUUGGACUUGAAAUGGCAACUAUAUAUAUAUAUAUAUAUAUAUAUAUAUAUAUAUAUAUAUAUAUAUAUAUAUAUAUAUAUAUAUAUAUAUAUAUAUAUAUAUAUAUGUAUGUAUCUAUAUGUAUAUGCUUUUAGCAAAAUAACACUGUCGGCCAAUAAAAAGCAGGUAAGAGUACUGCUGUUCUUUAUUUAUUUAUUUUUUUGCAUAUACAUUACUCAACCUAUUGAUAGAUCAUGAAAUCUAACAAAAACAAAACUCUAAAAAAAAAAGAUAUAAGGCUGUGUGCAUGAUGGGUCCAAAAUGUGUUCGUGUGUUUGGAUGUGUGUGUGCUGUACUGUAUUUUUAUUUCUUAUGAAAAUAAAUUAAAUUAUUAAAAAAA